GGCAGUGUCAAGGAUGCCUGUGUGUUUGCAGCAGGUUCCUUCCAGAAGCAGCUUUCUUGUGAAACCUUAUCUGUUCUUCCCUGGACAAAACGUGUUGUUUUCAUUGUGUUAGAUAGCCUAACACUGGAGAAAAUUCAGCAGAUCACAGUGCACAUCCCCAAGUUGCAAUGUGGGGACGGACAGUUCAGACGUGGAACUCCCAGGUAUUUGCCGGACUGGUCCGUGUAAGACCUCUCACCGGUUCGCA
rnacentral:lncRNA from 1 species